UUGAUUUUUUUAUACUCUUUUGAAACCGCACCGCGUGACCGCGGCCUGCCUUCGCAUCGCCGCCACGAAACCUCGGCUGCCGGUUGCGAUCUGUUCUUCCUCUCCGCCGAGGUCCGUCUCGCUUCCGAUGGUUUGCCACGCCUUCGCCUCGCCACUAGUCCCUUCACCAUGGCGCGGUCAUAGUGGCAAUGGAAAGCAUCUCUCGGGUGAUAGAUGGGGUUGCCUGUUUAGUGCAGAAUGAACGCAUCACAUGGACCAAGACUACAACACCAUGGAGCUACAUUGAUCAAUUUUAUUGCGUUUGAGGUUUGGCAACCCAAAAUCAUAGUAAACUCCAGCAUUUCAAAAGCGGAGCUGUCAGUUUUUCCCAUUCCAGAUCUUAAGCUAAACUGCAGUCUAAUAUAUGAGAACAGAAAUGGGCUGAUGUGAUGAAGCAAAAGGCGAAGCACGGGUGGCUCCUCUCGUCUCCUCCUCCACGAGCGUCGAUGGCGACCACUCGCUCGCCCCCCGGCAUUCAAGGCAAUGUACGAAACGUUACCUUAUCUUUCACCUCUCUUCUUUUCUUGUGAAUAUCUAUUCACUGUCACUGUGCUACUGUGGCAUGCAUGCAUGCAUGGUCCACUGUUAAUGCAUGGAGUUUACGUGGGACGCCGAGCCCGGGCAGCUCUCAUCUUCCCAAUCAUAAAGCAAUGGAGUGCAAUAUCAUUUCCCUGCCCCCCUCGGUUCCCGUGGCGCUGUUUUGGCUGCUUUCCAUUCAUUACUGCCCUCUCAUUGGUCCCCGUGGUGCGACUGGACCAGAAAGGGACCCCCCCUGUGCCAUUCUUUGUGCUGUUCCUUCCCUGGUACGUCCCUGUCUAUCUGUUGGCUAGUAGUGUCUUUAACUGAGAACUUCUUUUGAAAAAUGCAUGAAUGAGAGCAGCAAGAUAUUAUCUACUUGUUUUUUUUUUAAUCCACAUAUGGACUUGGAUUAACCUUGUUUUGUAUUUUUUCUUGAAAAUUCAAAUAUCAGCAGAUUUUACUUGUUGUUUUA